UAAUUAUUUUAAGAUGUGCUAAUAAUCAAAACUGAUAGUGGCUUUUGAAUAAAUAGAUCACUUGAAUAGAAUAGAGCCCAGAAAUAAACCCAAAUGCUUCUGGGCGAGUUUAGUAUACUAUAAACAUGACAUUUUAAAUCAGUAAGGAAAAGAAAUCAUUUGCAGUUCACCCCACCAUAGGCAGCAGGAAUAGGAAGUCAUUGGCAGCAGAACAAGAUGGUAAGAACAGAACAGAAUUGUAGAAUGCUACAUUUCUUGCUUCUCCACUUUUUAAAGUAUUUUUUUGCUUUUACACAAGUAUAAGUGUAAUUUUCUUUUCUAAAUGUAUCUGUUUUCUGUGUUUCUUGGAUAAAUGAAAAAAUUGCAUCUUUAGAAAAAGAGUUGUUAGAAGAAAGCUCAGCAGCUUCGGGAGAAGUGACAGCAGAGAAGCGGCCAGAGAACAGCCUCCUGGAGGAGACCCUGCCCUUUGACCAUGCCGUCUGGAUGGAUACGGUGCCAGCCUCUGCAAAGUGUUCACUUCUGGGCUUUUUCUAUGGUUUCAUUUAAUAGGAAGAUUUGGGGUGAUGUUUCUUUUCCCUCAACUUUUUAUUUUAAAGACUUGCAGACAACGAAAAGUUGAAAAAAUAAUACGGUGAACAUUUGCAUGCUAUUCAACUGGAUUCACCAAUUAACGUUUUGUCAUAUUUGUUUCCUCUCCUCCAUGUAUGCAGGACUGCAUAUGUGCCCCUUUCCCCUGAAUCCUUUCCAGGUUAAGUUGCCAGUAUCAUAGCAUUUCACUUUGAAGUACUUUUGCAGAUAUCUUCUAAGAACUAGGACAUUGUCCUGUAUAAGCACAAUUCCAUUAAUCCACUCCCAAAAUUUAACAUCAAUACACUAAUGAUACCUAAUGUUUAGCUUAUAACAGCUCUCUUGUAAUCUGUUUAGAAAGUUUGCAUCCUUUCCUGACCACUGAUUAAAUUUUGAACUCCAACCUGAAACCCUGGUCAUCUCAUUGCCUUCUUUCUUGUACCCAUUAAAUCAAAAUGAGCUCUCACUUAAUUUCAACGUAAGAGACAAUGGAAAAGAGGGGAAGAGUCCCUAGGUACCUUGGAUAAAGUAUUAACACUGCCAAAUGUCUUCUAGUUCUGAGGUUUUCGAACUUCAGGGAGCAUCUCAAGGCUUCUUAAAGCACAGAUACCUGUCCCUCGUCCCCACUUUCUGAUUCAGGAGAUGUGGGGCUGGCCCAGGAGUUUGAUUUCUAACAAGUUCCCACGUGUUGCUGAUGCUGAGGGUCUAAGGACUACAGUGUGAAACUCAGUGGUUUCGUGGCUCUCUACCUCAUGACCACAUGUGGUAUUUCCUUUAGCACCUGAGAUUACAGAGGAAACACCCUUCAACUGGAAGGUAUCAUUAAACAGAGGAUAAGAGAUCAGGUUAGUAAGAAUUAAAUUUAAUUGAAAAGCCAGUGAAAUUUUAAUUAGUGGUGGUGAGAAAUUGGUGAACACCCUCAUUGGCCUUUAGAGUUUUAUCCUGUGGUAUAUAUCAAACCGCUUAGUUUGAGGCUGUUGAACUUAUUUCCUAAGCAAGAAACAGCAGCAGAAGAAAAUCCAGACCAUGUAGGAAUUCAGAAGAUGAUGGAUUCCCUCUUCCUAAAAUUGGAUGCCCUCUCAAACUUCCACUUCAUCCCUAAACCGGGUACAAGCCUGCAGUAGUUCCCUGUAAAUUCCAGGUAUGGCCUCCACAAGGAAGGCUAACUUCUGGUCCCAUGACAGUUCUGGCUCUACCCAGAUCUUUAGUGGGCCCCUGCCAGACCCUCAGCCGUAGCCAUGGGGACCCCUCUUCUCCCCCACUCUCUGAGUCUUUGGUUACAUUUUCAUUGUAUGGUGGGUUUGGAGACAUAUGGAUAUCUAUACCCGCAUUUAUUGAGUAUCUGCUACAUGUCAUGUUAGGUCCUUUACAUACAUGAACACUUAAUACACACAACACAGAGGCAGGUACUAUAAUUUCCAUUUCGCAGGUGAGAAAAACGAAGGCUUGGGCAUGCUGUUAGAAUGUUUUUGAGACAGAAAACCCUAAAAUACCCAGGUCUUAUGGCAUCCUGAAGCAGCUUGUGCCACCCCUCAGCGCUGCCAUUAUGCCCGUUAGCUUAGGACUUUGGCUGUCACCAUAUCUGACAUUUUAAAUAAUCUCCAUUAGAUUUGCUGAAUUUCAAGCAAGUGAAAAAAAGAUAAUCUCCACAAAGUAUUUUGUAGAUUAUGCUUGAAGAAAAUAAGUUCAGAAUUCACACAUUUUGUGUUAGAUCCCUUUCUGACUUCCUAUCGAAUGUAUUCUCUCUUUUCUAGCCUGUACCAGAGAUUAAAGUUGUGUGAAAUCUGUCAGCCAUAACCAUGAAGGAAGCAGCCCCAGCGAGUGUUAGUGAUACAGCUCACCUGGCCCCAGAGGAGAUCAAGCUGAGAGAGUAUCUUGUCAUCAGUACAACAGCCCUGGUGUUGCUACAGGAAUACCUGACGCCAACAGGCAAAUAAUGGCAGUGACCCUGAGACCACUUCUGCUGGCUGCCACUCACCUGACGAUUACAGGGCCUGCUGUGAACACCUCUCCUCCUUGGGCUUGUGUUUCCUGAGGAGGUGGAGUUAGAGAGUAUCACAGGUUUCUGUUAGCUCUGAGAGUCCAAGAUUUCAAGGCCAGCGAGAGUGGAAACCUUGGGGCCAAGGGCUCCUGUCUGCCUUUUCCAUCCCAUAUCCCCACUGUGAAGAAGUGUAGCUGGCCCGAAAACAAGCCAAGCCACCACCAUCAGGCAGCGCUCAGGAGGCAGGUAGAGGCUCAGGCUCACACCAUCGGUGUCCUGGAAAGAGAACUGUAUUUCACGGAGAGUGUGGCCAGGCAGCUAGAAGGAGGGAAUCUGGGCACCCCAUCAUCCUUCAACCUGGCGCUUGGACAGGCUUUUAGGGGGAGUCCCUUGGGCCUCCUCUCAACCACUCUCCUUCCAGGAGAUGGCAGUUACCUCUCCAAACUCCUGCAACAUGCCUCCCAACACGUGGAGGACUUGAGGCAGGCUCUGAUGUCUCCACACAGAAAAAGGCGGCAGACAGGGUGAGUCCAACCACCUGCCCCGUCCCCUGGCAACCCAGCUUCCCAGAUGGAGGAGUGAGUCUAAAGGGCCCUUCUGCAGGAUGGAACGUCCUUCCCAGAAGGCACCACGGGCCAUUUCUUGGUGCUUUUGUGUGUGGUUGUUAGAGGCAGGCUGUGGGUGAGUUGGGGCUGCUGUAGGGGGUGAGCACAGGACACAGAGCUCAGAGGCCAAGUGCCUGUCCUGCCCUUACCUGGCUGUGGCCUUAGCCAAAUCCUAGGUGGGGGUUAGGGUACUUGUACCAUGAAGGUGCGGAAGAGUGUCUUUAGUAUGUUACCAUUUGUGUAGAGAGAGGGAACACGUGUUUGUGUGUGUGUGUAUCAUGGUAAGAUACAUAAAACAUGUUUGUAAGGAUUCAUUAAAAACUGAGGAGAGGGAGAUAUCAGUGUGAGUGGGAGAUAUUUCCCUUUUGUACCUUCUGAGUUUUGGACUAUAUUAACAUAUUGUCCUUUCAAAACGUCAACAAGAUUAAUUUCCUCCUUCUUAUCUGUGCCCCCACCGCCAGGAAAGAAUGGGCUUAGAGAAUCAGAGAAACCUGGGGGUUGAAAUCCCAGCUCUGUCUCAGUGAUCUUAGGCAAGCACUUAACCUUUAAUACCCCAUGUUUUUCAUCUACACGAUAGAGGUAGUAAUAGUAACCGUCUCCUGGUGGUUGUGAGGAUUAAAUGGGAUUGUUAGCAUAGUGCCUGGUAAAGCACUCAGUGAAGAUUCCAACGGUGGUAGUAAUAACAGUCAUAACAAUAGCAAUAUUAUCUGAUCUCUCCGGGCUCAUUAGCCAGCUAUAAAUUCAAUCUCUUUCCCUGUCCCUUCCACCCUUACUGAGUUCUUUGAAACACAAAUGAGGGCCAGGCUCAUUGGCUCACACCUGUAAUCCCAGCACUUUGGGAGACUGAGGUGGGCAGAUCACUUGAGGUUGGGAGUUUGAGACCAGCCUGA